UGGAUCCAGACUUUGAUUAUGGCUCAGGAUAAACGCUGGCGGCGCACAUAAGACAUGCAAGUCGAACGGACUUAACUCAUUCUUUUAGUUUGAGAGCGGUUAGUGGCGGACUGGUGAGUAACACGUAAGCAACCUGCCUAUCAGAGGGGAAUAACAGUGAGAAAUCAUUGCUAAUACCGCAUAUGCUAACAGUAUCGCAUGAUACAGUUAGGAAAGGAGCAAUCCGCUGAUAGAUGGGCUUGCGUCUGAUUAGUUAGUUGGUGGGGUAACGGCCUACCAAGACUACGAUCAGUAGCCGGACUGAGAGGUUGAACGGCCACAUUGGGACUGAGAUACGGCCCAGACUCCUACGGGAGGCAGCAGUCGGGAAUAUUGCGCAAUGGAGGAAACUCUGACGCAGUGACGCCGCGUAUAGGAAGAAGGUUUUCGGAUUGUAAACUAUUGUCGUUAGGGAAGAUAAAAGACUGUACCUAAGGAGGAAGCCCCGGCUAACUAUGUGCCAGCAGCCGCGGUAAUACAUAGGGGGCAAGCGUUAUCCGGAAUUAUUGGGUGUAAAGGGUGCGUAGACGGAAGAACAAGUUGGUUGUGAAAUCCCUCGGCUCAACUGAGGAACUGCAACCAAAACUAUUCUCCUUGAGUGUCGGAGAGGAAAGUGGAAUUCCUAGUGUAGCGGUGAAAUGCGUAGAUAUUAGGAGGAACACCAGUGGCGAAGGCGACUUUCUGGACGAUAACUGACGUUGAGGCGCGAAAGUAUGGGGAGCAAACAGGAUUAGAUACCCUGGUAGUCCACACUGUAAACGAU
rnacentral:rRNA from 1 species